AAAAGUUAAAAAUGACGGAUAAUGGAAAUGUUAGGAUUUGGUUAGAUUUGUAGUUGAAUCCUAUUUAGAUAAGAAUUAAUAUUUAAAUCUGUUGGAGAUAAAUUAAGAUUUAAAUAUUAAUUAGAGAAUGGAUCUAAUUAGAUUAUGAUAAAUAUUUAAAUCUAUUGUAGAUAGAUCAAUUAAGAUUUAAAUAUUUAUUGGAGUAGAAAUCCUAAAUAUAUUAGGAUUGGGGUACGUUUUGGUGGAGCUUUAUAAAUAGCUCUUGAUGGGUUUGUUUUUGGAGAGGAAGUACGGGAGAGAGAGAGAGAGAGAGAGUCUCUUGGGUUACCAUACCAGAGAGAGAAAAAGAGAGAGAGAGUUAUUGCGUGCACCUAGUGCAUGGGUGCGCGUGAAUGAUUGUCUUCUUUAUGUGUUUAUAGAAGACGAGAGAAGGGUAGAAGAGAUUAAAGAAAGUGGGCUCGGAUUGUAACUACUCUGUGCAAAAGAGGAGUCAGGUGUAAUCUUCUCUUAUUUAAUGUGUGACGCCCCGACUUCCCAGGGGGUCACCCAUCCUAGGACUACUCCCGUCCUAGCGCGCUUAACUCUCUUAACCUCUUAGGCCUUGCCACCACCCAAAAUGCUUAAGCCGGAUUAAGAGUUUAGCCCUAUUAUAUCUCAUAUAUAGGACUAUCUGGGGUCUCACAAUCUCCCAUCCUUUAAGCCCUAACGUCCUCGUCAGGCUUAGACUCACAAGUACCAGGCGAUGUGAGACUCGUCUCGCUAGCCCGUCAUCCAGACCCUGGCUCAGCCGAGACUCAUGUCACACUUCCGGCUAGUAAUUAGCUCUGAUACCAUCUGUGACGCCCUGACUUCCCAAGGGGUCACCCAUCCUAAGACUACUCCCGUCUUAGCACGCUUAACUCUCUUAACCUCUUGGGCCUUGCCACCACCCAAAAUGCUAAAGCCGGAUUAAGAGUUUAGCCCUAUUAUAUCUCAUAUAUAGGACUAUCUGGGGUCUCACAUAAUGAUUCUUAUUUUACCCGCAUAUUUUCUGUUUUGGUAUUUCUCUCUUUUAUGAUUGUAUCAGCUUUUGCUGAAGAGACGGGUUUAUGGUAAAAAUCCGAUUCGAUGCUUCCGUUGCGGAAUCCCAACAAUCGGUACCAAAUCCACAGCAGUCGGUAUCGUAGCAGGUUGCGAAUUCACAAGGUCCGGUACCGGGGCGAGUAUCGGAUUCCCAACAAGUGGUAUCAGAGCCGAAGGUUACCGAUCUGCGGGAGAGAUCGACGGAGAUGGCCACGAAAUUCGAAAUCAAGAAGUUCGACGGCAAGAACAAUUUUGGAUUAUGGCAGAUUAAAGUACGGGCAAUCCUCGUACAGCAAGAGUUGGACGAGACGUUGAACGGGAAAGAGGCGAAGCCGAAGGAGGUCACGGAUGCUGUAUGGACGAAGAUAGAGUGGAAGGCAUUGAGUACGCUUCAUCUAUCAUUAGCAGAUGAGGUUCUUUACAACAUAGCCAGCGAGACGACACCAGCGAAGUUGUGGAAGAAAUUGGAAGAUCUGUACAUGACCAAAUCCCUGACGAACAGAUUGUAUCUGAAGCAGCGACUGUUUACGUUGCGGAUGCAGGAAACGGCGAUGCAGCAAACGGCGAGCCUACACGAGCAUCUGAACGAGUUCAACAAGGUGGUGACCCAGUUGACUAGUAUCGGAGUUAAUCUAGAUGACGAAAACAAGGCGCUGAUUUUAUUAUCUUCGCUACCGGCGACAUAUGAGCAUCUGGUGACCACAUUGCUUUAUGGCAAGGAGACCGUAAGCGUGGAGACAGUCACGGCGGCGCUUCUCUCGAACGAGAUGCGGAAAAUGACUCACGAGGCUAGCACGCAGAGCCAGAAUAUUGCUUUGGUGGUGAGAGCGAAGAAGGAGGCGACAACAUCAGCGACUGGAGAUCGACAGAAGAAGUCGCUAUCUGAGGUGGAGUGCUUCUACUGUCACAGGAAAGGGCAUAUUAAGCGCAACUGUCGAAAACUUCGGGAUGAUCUAAAAGAGUUAAAGCGACAGAAGGAGAAAACUGUCGUGAAUCAGGAUGAGACGGUAUCAAUGAUGGCGCAGGCGGCGGAAUCGGAGAUGAUGGAUUCUGAUGUCCUGUAUGCGGCGACCGGAGGUGCGAAAAUUUCAGAUGACGCGUGGGUGCUCGAUUCGGCGUGUUCCUUUCACGUUUGCCCCGAGAAGGAGUAUUUUGCCACCUAUAAAGCGAUCAAGGGUGGAAAGGCUCUGAUGGGGAACGGGACGGCGUGCAAAGUUUUGGAAGUCGAUACGGUGAAGAUCCGAAUGCACGAUGGGGUCGUGAGGACGCUGACAGGUGUGCCGCAUGUUCCUGGAUUGAAACGGAAUUUGAUCUCGUUAGGCGCAUUGGACUCGAAGGGUUGCGAUAUUUCGGCAUCAGGUGGAGCUAUGAGGGUCCGAAAGCGAGAUCGGGUCGUGUGCGAGGCGAACAAGCGUGGAAACUUGUACGUUCUGAACGGGAGCACAGUCAGAACGGAAGCAAAGACGGUUUGGGUUCCAAAAGUUCGCGGAGGUGCAGUCGCUCGAGGCGAAGCGACAGAUGCGGCUACAUCGAGCGAAGGAGACAAGCUCAAGGAGGAGCUUGCAUGGUGAGCUCGACGUAGCGGUUGAAUAUUACAAAUCAAACCAAUGUGGAGAUUUGUUAGGAUUUGGUUAGAUUUAUAGUUGAAUCAUAUUUGGAUAAGAAUUAAUAUUUAAAUAUGUUGGAGAUAAAUUAAGAUUUAAAUAUUAAUUAGAGAAUGGAUCUAAUUAGAUUAGGAUAAAUAUUUAAAUCUAUUGGAGAUAGAUCAAUUAAGAUUUAAAUAUUUAUUGGAGUAGAAAUCCUAAAUAUAUUAGGAUUGGGGUACGUUUUGGUGGAGCUUUAUAAAUAGCUCUUGAUGGGUUUGUUUUUGGGGAGGAAGUACGAGAGAGAGAGAGAGAGAGAGAGAGAGAGAGAGAGAGAGUCUCUUGGGUUGCCGUACCAGAGAGAGAAAAAGAGAGAGAGAGUUAUUGAGUGCACCUAGUGCACGGGUGCGCGUGGAUGAUUGUCUUCUUUAUGGGUUUAUAGAAGACGAGAGAAGGGUAGAAGAAAUUAAAGAAAGAGGGCUCGGAUUGUAGCUACUCUGUGCAAAAGAGGAGUCAGGUGUAAUCUCCUCUUAUUUAAUGAAUCUUAUUUUACCCGCAUAUUUUCUGUUUUAGUAUUUCUAUCUUUUAUGAUUGUAUCAGCUUUUGCUGACGAGACGGGUUUAUGGUAAAAAUCCGAUUCGACGCUUCCGUUGCGGAAUCCCAACAAUUGGUACCGAAUCCACAGCAGUCGGUAUCGGAGCAGGUUGCGGAUUCACAAGGUCCGGUACCGGAGCGAGUACCGGAUUCCCAACAGG
rnacentral:lncRNA from 1 species